UUGUGCAUUUGGCAGAAUCCUUUCCUAUCAAUUACGCUCCAUUCAUUAGAGGGAGCAAUGAUGUUCCUGUGGCUAAAUUUGGUGUCCUUUCUAGCGGUCCUCAGAGGUGUUCGAUCUCAGGCCCAGUUGGUGGAAUCUGGAGGGGAUGUGAGAAGACCUGGAGAGUCCCUCCGUCUCUCCUGCCAAGGUUCUGGAUUCACCUUCAGUAAUGCCUACAUGCACUGGGUGAGACAGGCUCCAGGGAAAGGCCUGGAAUGGGUGGCAUAUAUAAAUUACCCUUCCAGUACUAUUCUCUACUCAGACAAAGUGAAAGGCCGCUUCACCGUCUCCAGGGACAAUUCCAAAAGCCAGAUGUAUCUGCAAAUGAACAGCCUCAAAGCUGAAGACACGGCCGUCUAUUACUGUGCAAGAGAGACACAGUGA